GGUUUCAUUUUACGGAUGAAGAGACUGAAGCUCAGAGGGAUCCAAUAACUUGCUCAAGGCGUCAUAGUAAGAGGCAGAGCUAGGAUCCAAAUCUAGGAAUUCUAGGAGCUCGCUUUUUGGAAGGGGCAGUUGACAGUUAUAAUUAUGCGUGUAAUUACCCUAUAGGGAGUGCCAGAUCCGCUUUGGAGGGAGAAAGGAGAUUGCCUCGGAUUCCGACAGCAGGGUCACCUGUCUGUGUGCCCAGUUUGAAGCCGUCCUGCAGCAUGGCUUGAAGAGGAGUCGAGGAUUGGCACUCACAGCGGCAGCGAUCAAGCAGGCAGCGGGCUUUGCCAGCAAAACCGAAACAGGUACUGCUCUGCCUGGCUGUAGCUUGCAGGAGCUUGUCUUCCUUCUGCUCUUUUUCUUUUUAUUUAUUUUUUAAUAGUGGGCAGGGCAGUCAUCGCGUGGGACUUGGUGGGGUGGUGUAUGGGCACAGAAAUCCAUGUCUUAAUAGUAGUCAAAACGUAAUGGUGUUGUCUGGCAUCUUAAUUUAAAUGAAGUCAUCUUUUGUGCAGAAUUCUCAGAGCCACAUGGUACAAUCUCCUCUGGGUUCGGGGACCUGCAGCACACUGGUUUAUUUCACCAGUGUGGUGUGCC
rnacentral:sRNA from 1 species